AGUGGGAUUGUUGGGUCAUAUGAUAAUUUUAUUCUUAAUUAUAUGAAGACAUUACAUGCUGUUUUCUAUAAUAGCUGUACCAUUUUACAUUUCUACCAACAGU
rnacentral:pre_miRNA from 1 species